GUCGAGAAUCUUUCACAAUGGGGGCAACCCUGAUGGAGCGACGCCGCGUGGAGGAUAAGGUCUUCGGAUUGUAAACUCCUGUCAUGCGUGAACAAGGUUGCUUGGUUAAUACCUGGGCAAAUUGAUGGUAACGCAAGAGGAAGAGACGGCUAACUCUGUGCCAGCAGCCGCGGUAAUACAGAGGUCUCAAGCGUUGUUCGGAAUCACUGGGCGUAAAGGGUGCGUAGGUGGCGUGGUAAGUCAGAUGUGAAAGCCCGGGGCUCAACCUCGGAACUGAAUCCGAUACUGCCAUGCUAGAGUACUGGAGAGGUGACUAGAAUUCUCGGUGUAGCAGUGAAAUGCGUAGAUAUCGAGAGGAAUACCAAAGGCGUAGGCAGGUCACUGGACAGUUACUGACACUGAGGCACGAAGGCCAGGGGAGCGAACGGGAUUAGAUACCCUUGUAGUCC
rnacentral:rRNA from 1 species